GAGGUAGCCGAUCAUCAUGUUGCUGAAACGCUGAGGGUAGUACAUGCCGUCCAUCUUCUUGCUCCUGCUGCUGCUGCUGCUGCUCAGGAAUAUAGGAAUAAAACCUGCCACGGAUUUCCAUGUCCGGCAUCGAUUCUCCAUCGCCAGAAAGAAGCAUCGGAAUUAUGGCGCGGCAUCGUCCUCGGCUGCCUUAGCCGCUGCCGAUGCUUAAUCAUGAAGCAAGCAAAAAAAAACACAUCAAAACACAGGAGAUAGGUCCGGCCGGGCUCCGGCUUUCCGGACGACCAUGGUGGCCCUUUCUUUCUCCUUCUCCUUCUCCUUGUCCUUACAUCAGAGUGCACGAAGCAGGCCCGCUUUGCUUUAUAGCCACAUACAGUAUAAUAUACCACUUUGCAUCCAAGUAAAAAAGAUGCAAGGAGGAGGGCCCUAAGCCAGUCGUCUUGCUGCCCGGAUCAGUGGCGAGUGGAAAGCGCUGUGUCGUGUGCAUAAUGCAUCAACUUUUUCAUCCUUUGCUCGCCACCUUUCUCUCUUUCUUCCUCUUUGAUUGAUGGUUUGUGUAUUCUCUUUGGGCAGGAUAAGCUCGUCGGGAUGCCGGCGGCCAAUCGGCUUAAAGCGAUGAUUUGCUCUAAUGACAAAAAAUGUGGCGCCGCUAACCGCAUAUUAUACUUUAAAAGUCUUUUUUUCUUUUUCACUGCCCCGAGGAAGGUCGUCUUCUCUGGAAGCAAAAGCGCGUUCGGGACGACGGAAAGCGCGCACCGGAGAAGCGUUGGGAUUCGGAGAAACCUUCUUGGGUUUGGGUGGCUCGAGAUGGAGCCAUGUUAUUAUCAACGUUUGAUUUGAUUAUAAGAUGUUUAAAGGGGUGAUGAUGAUCUUUGAUGAUGCUGACAACCGGUUUCCUUGGUCACUGGCUAAGGGUCACAUGUUCAUUGGGUACCUGAGUGAGUGAGUGAUCGUGUUGUUGCUUGGACAGGAAACAGAUGGUGAAUCUAGUGGAUGCGCUUCUUUUA